rnacentral:rRNA from 1 species
GACGAACGCUGGCGGCGUGCUUAACACAUGCAAGUCGAACGGAAAGGCCCUGCUUUUGUGGGGUGCUCGAGUGGCGAACGGGUGAGUAACACGUGAGUAACCUGCCCUUGACUUUGGUAUAACUUCAGGAAACUGGGGCUAAUACCGGAUAGGAUCUCCUGCUGCAUGGUGGGGUUUGGAAAGUUUCGGCGGUUGGGGAUGGACUCGCGGCUUAUCAGCUUGUUGGUGGGGUAGUGGCUUACCAAGGCUUUGACGGGUAGCCGGCCUGAGAGGGUGACCGGCCACAUUGGGACUGAGAUACGGCCCAGACUCCUACGGGAGGCAGCAGUGGGGAAUAUUGCACAAUGGGCGGAAGCCUGAUGCAGCAACGCCGCGUGCGGGAUGACGGCCUUCGGGUUGUAAACCGCUUUCGCCUGUGACGAAGCGUGAGUGACGGUAAUGGGUAAAGAAGCACCGGCUAACUACGUG